rnacentral:rRNA from 1 species
UACGUAGGGUGCGAGCGUUAAUCGGAAUUACUGGGCGUAAAGCGUGCGCAGGCGGUUAUAUAAGACAGAUGUGAAAUCCCCGGGCUCAACCUGGGACCUGCAUUUGUGACUGUAUAGCUAGAGUACGGUAGAGGGGGAUGGAAUUCCGCGCGUAGCAGUGAAAUGCGUAGAUAUGCGGAGGAACACCGAUGGCGAAGGCAAUCCCCUGGACCUGUACUGACGCUCAUGCACGAAAGCGUGGGGAGCAAACAGGAUUAGAACGA